AAGGUCAGGGGGGCGUUUGCUCAAAAAAAUUUGAGAACCGAUGGACUAGUGGGUCUGGCAGGAGUCGAGUCUGAGAACGAACGACAUGAACGAGAGAGAAGAAUCAUUUCGGUUUGUUUAAAGAUUCGUUCAUUCGAACUGAUUCGGUCGGGAACGACCCAUCACUAAUUUCUAAUGAAGAGCUGACACAAAGGUCAACAGGAUAUCACAAGACCUGUUACAGCGGAAAUGUAUCCAAGCGCCGCACAGGGUUAAUUUCUUUUCGACACGCACAGCCCGGCGCACAGAAGCAUCCGGAGUCUCUGUGGACAGGCAUCGAGGCGCUGAAGAGCUCGCAGCACACGAGGCAGCUGACGUCCUCGCUGGAUAAGAAGUGUCCAGAAGUAGAGGCAGCAAUGGUGGUGAACUCUGCUGCCUCCGGAACAGGACAAACUAGACCUAAGGUGGGGCUGACUCAAUCAGCGGGCCAGGUGAUGGUGGGAGGAGCAGCUGAGGUGGCAACUCCAGCAACUCCGGCAUCAGGAGCGGGCGAGGAGAGCUUCUUCUUGGGAGCCCGAGAGGAGGGAGGCUGCUUGGAGGGGAGGCUGCUUGGCGGGACGACGCUGCUUCACAGUUCCCUGCUUUUCCGCCUCUAAAGCAGCCCUCACCGGGGUGUCCGUCCGGCCUUAGGGUAAGGCCGGACGAUGUCCGGGCUGAAUUCAACGGCCUCUCCCUCAGGCCGGACAGCUCGAUCAGUGGCACCUGGAGAAGCGCUGACCUCGUCACCCGAAGCCUGGGGAGGAGGGCGGUCUGUUGAAUAGGCUCCGGCGAAGUCCUUCUCCUCAAAUGCAGAGGGGUUAAAAGGCCAGAUCCCUGGACUUGAGAACCCGGAGGUGGGACGUGUGAUUGUCCAGCAGGAGGAGCAGCUUCGACUCCUUGGACACACGGGUGUGACUGGUGAAGUGGGCCAGGUACAGGAGGAAGUCUGGCUCCUUCAUCCAGCCAGUUGGGUUGCCGCUGCCUGCACAGCCAACGGGUCCACCCCUCAGGAAGUGGUCUUUGAACCGCUUACGGGGGGAAGAUGAAGAAUGGCGGAACAAGGUCGCCCUGAGCAUUGCCUGCCAGGGCAACUGUGACCAGGGUCCCCCUCUCCGCUGAGGUCACUGACCCGACCUGCUUCUGCUCCAUCUGGGCGACGACGCGGUCUUGCACCUGGACAGUGGUGACCCCUGUAAAUAGUUGUGUGAGUUUAGAUGUAUAUAUAUAGUUGUGUGUGUGUAUAUAGUUGUGUUUUAUGUUAAUAAAGUUCAUAUUAAAUACCGGUUUCAUCAAUGUUCCAAAUGUCCUUGGCCUGGAACUGGUGCCGGUCCAGCACUGUCUUUAAAUUUUGGUGGAACAAGUUUACAUUACUUUGGUUGAAACUUGACAACCGUUGUUGGCUAGUGGCCUCUGGACGCCGAAGGGAGAGGCUGCCACUGCGCUCCAUGAAGGAGGUGAACCAGUCCUUCCCCGCCAUGCUCUUCCUCGACCAGGAUGCAGGGAAUGGGCAGCUGAAGUGCACUGCCAGCUCAAAGGCAAAUUUUCUGACCUGAAGGGGUCAUAAAAAGUUGAUGUACAUUUGUGUCUUUAUGUUUAUGUUAUUUGUUCAUAUUUAUUAAUUAAAGCAUGUGCAUAGCAUACAUGUGUGCCUGUCCUACAACUUAUGUAGCCCUUUUCACAACACUGACCUCAUUAGGGGUGAGCCCAAAAUAAAUGGCUGCUGCCCUCUUCAGGUAGUCCCUGACCUUUCCCUCCUGCGCUGCGCUGCGUUAAAAACCCUAUUGUCC
ensembl:lncRNA